rnacentral:tRNA from 1 species
UCCCUGGUGGUCCAGUGGUUAAGACUCUGCACUCCCAAUGCAGGGGGCAAGGGUUUGAUCCCUGAUCAGGGAA